UUUUUGUGAUCGCCCGCCCACUCGUCCUGUCCAGCUAGGGAGCUGAACUACCUGCUGCUAGCAUCUUCAUCAGAUGGGGUUGGAAGCGGUAGAGACUCCGGUCUGCAUGGGAACUCCACAUUUCAAGGAGACACCCAUGUCAGAAACUCUGGACUAGCAAAGAGAAGAGUAACAUUCCUCAGAAGUUUGAAACAUUUCCAGCUGUUCGGCAUGUUUUGAUUCAAGGAACGAAGAAUCACUUUCAAGUGUCA